GACGAACCGUGCGAACGUUGUUCGGAAUCACUGGGCUUAAAGGGCGCGUAGGCGGGCGGUCAAGUCAGAGGUGAAAUCCCACGGCUCAACCGUGGAAGUGCCCCUGAUACUGAUCGUCUCGAGGGAGGUAGGGGCGUGCGGAACUUCCGGGUGGAGCGGUGAAAUGCGUAGAUAUCGGAAGGAACACCGAUGGCGAAAGCAGCGCGCUGGACCUCUACUGACGCUGAGGCGCGAAAGCCAGGGGAGCAAACGGG
rnacentral:rRNA from 1 species